UACAGAGGUCCCAAGCGUUGUCCGGAUUUACUGGGCGUAAAGAGCGCGCAGGCGGUCGUUCAAGUCGAGUGUGAAAGCCCCCGGCUCAACUGGGGAGGGUCACUCGAUACUGAUCGACUUGAAGGCAGGAGAGGGAAGCGGAAUUCCCGGUGUAGUGGUGAAAUGCGUAGAUAUCGGGAGGAACACCAGUGGCGAAGGCGGUUCUCUGGGACGGUACUGACGCUGAGACGCGAAAGCGUGGGGAGCGAACAGG
rnacentral:rRNA from 1 species